CAGUGAAAUUGAACUCGCUGUGAAGAUGCAGUGUACCCGCGGCAAGACGGAAAGACCCCGUGAACCUUUACUAUAGCUUGACACUGAACAUUGAGCCUUGAUGUGUAGGAUAGGUGGGAGGCUUUGAAGUGUGGACGCCAGUCUGCAUGGAGCCGGCCUUGAAAUACCACCCUUUAAUGUUUGAUGUUCUAACGUGGACCCGUGAUCCGGGUUGCGGACAGUGUCUGGUGGGUAGUUUGACUGGGGCGGUCUCCUCCUAAAGAGUAACGGAGGAGCACGAAGGUUGGCUAAUCCUGGUCGGACAUCAGGAGGUUAGUGCAAUGGCAUAAGCCAGCUUGACUGCGAGCGUGACGGCGCGAGCAGGUGCGAAAGCAGGUCAUAGUGAUCCGGUGGUUCUGAAUGGAAGGGCCAUCGCUCAACGGAUAAAAGGUACUCCGGGGAUAACAGGCUGAUACCGCCCAAGAGUUCAUAUCGACGGCGGUGUUUGGCACCUCGAUGUCGGCUCAUCACAUCCUGGGGCUGAAGUAGGUCCCAAGGGUAUGGCUGUUCGCCAUUUAAAGUGGUACGCGAGCUGGGUUUAGAACGUCGUGAGACAGUUCGGUCCCUAUCUGCCGUGGGCGCUGGAGAACUGAGGGGGGCUGCUCCUAGUACGAGAGGACCGGAGUGGACGCAUCACUGGUGUUCGGGUUGUCAUGCCAAUGGCACUGCCCGGUAGCUAAAUGCGGAAGAGAUAAGUGCUGAAAGCAUCUAAGCACGAAACUUGCCCCGAGAUGAGUUCUCCCUGACCCUUUAAGGGUCCUGAAGGAACGUUGAAGACGACGACGUUGAUAGGCCGGGUGUGUAAGCGCAGCGAUGCGUUGAGCUAACCGGUACUAAUGAACCGUGAGGCUUAACCUUACAACGCCGAAG
rnacentral:rRNA from 1 species